AUUGCCCCUAGAGGCUUUGCAGGUAUGGCUUCUUUGUCACAUGUGUGUCCGUAGGUGGCAGAAGGAGGAAAUGCCUGUGAUCAGUGUUCUGACCUACGGAACAUCUGAAUUAUAAGUGAUCCUAGCAUU
ensembl:snoRNA